GGGGACCUUCGGGGCCCUACACCCGGGCCUUUGGGCCCCUGAACAGACGGAAGACAGAAA
rnacentral:ncRNA from 1 species